rnacentral:rRNA from 1 species
UGAUGACGAGACGCUAAGGCGUUGAAGUGGUGUAUGUCAGACUUCCAAGAAAAGCUUGCGAUGUCAUAGAUAAAAAAUGCCUGUACCAUAACCGACACAGGUGGGUAGGUAGAGUAUACUAAGGGGCGCGAGAUAACUCUCUCUAAGGAACUCGGCAAAAUGACUCCGUAACUUCGGGAGAAGGAGCGCCUUAUUUAUAAGGUUGCAAUAACAAGAUCCAAGCAACUGUUUAUCAAAAACACAGGUCUCCGCUAAGUCGUAAGACGAUGUAUGGGGGCUGACGCCUGCCCAGUGCCAGAAGGUUAAAGAAGUUGGUUAGUGUAAGCGAAGCUGAUAACUGAAGCCCUGGUGAACGGCGGCCGUAACAACAGCGGUCCUAAGGUAGCGAAAUUCCUUGUCGGGUAAGUUCCGACCCGCACGAAAGGCGUAAUGAUUUGGAUACUGUCUCGGAGAGAGGCUCGGUGAAAUAGACUUGUCUGUGAAGAUGCGGACUACCUGCACCAGGACAGAAAGACCCUAUGAAGCUUUACUGUAACUUGAAAUUGGAAUUGGACUUUGCUUGCGCAGUAUAGGUGGGAAGCGUUGAAGAUACUCUUGCGGGACUAUUGGAGCUAUCAGUGAGAUACCACUCUUGUAAUGUUAGAUUUCUAACUUUGAACCAUAAUCUGGUCAAAGAACAGUUUCAGGCGGGCAGUUUGACUGGGGCGGUCGCCUCCUAAAUGGUAACGGAGGCGUACAAAGGUUUCCUCUGAACGGAUAGAAAUCGUAUCUAGAGUGUAAAGGCAUAAGGAAGCUUGACUGUGAGACCUACAAGUCGAGCAGGGACGAGAGUCGGUCUUAGUGAUCUGACGGUACUGAGUGGAAAGGCCGUCACUCAACGGAUAAAAGUUACUCUAGGGAUAACAGGCUGAUCUCCCCCAAGAGUUCACAUCGACGGGGAGGUUUGGCACCUCGAUGUCGGCUCAUCGCAUCCUGGGGCGGUAGUACGUCCCAAGGGUUGGGCUGUUCGCCCAUGAAAGCGGUACGCGAGCUGGGUUCAGAACGUCGUGAGACAGUUCGGUCCAUAUCCGGUGUAGGCGUUAGAAUAUUGAGAGGAGCCUUCUUUAGUACGAGAGGACCGAGAAGGACACACCGCUGGUGUACCAGUUAUCGUGCCAACGGUAAACGCUGGGUAGCUAUGUGUGGAGAGGAUAACCGCUGAAAGCAUCUAAGUGGGAAGCCCACCUCAAGAUGAGUAUUCUCAUC